GGGAGUGUAGCAUAAUGAUUAGUGUAUUAGACUGCAAAUCUCGAAGACCAAGGUUCAAAUCCCUCUUGGCCA